rnacentral:lncRNA from 1 species
GCCAGCUUCCUGGGGGUUACUCCAAGGGCGUCUGCUUGCUAAAUAACAGCUGACGCAUGUGCAGCACUUCCUGGUGCCUUCCACGUGUCCCCAGAACAGCAGGUUCUACACAUGGCAGUUCUGACAUCCUGCAGUUCUAGAAUAACUAUUGAUUUAAAGAGCCGUGGCCAUACAGGAAGAACAGAGCAAGAGCCGCUGGCAAAGGAUUCUGCCAAGAGAGAAUCCAAAGGUCACCCCUCAAUAGCAGAAUGCAAUCCCCCAGCUCACUGCUGGCCAGAGCCUGCCAGAGCGCCAGCACACAGGGUAACAGUGCUGCCACCGUGCCAAGAUGGGCCCUCAGGAAGCCACCAGGGAACAAUUCACGGCUGGAGAGAAAAAGGCCACCUUUGACCCAGCAGAAGGCAGAGGCAGAAAAGGACAGUGAGAACCUACAAGGGGUACCGCGGGCGAAGAAAACACUGCCCAGGAUCUCACUGCGGUGGGAACUGGCUGUUUAUCACACUCGCAACCAACACGUGGAUUUGCCUGUUUUAAAACAACUUUCCACCCCUUUCAAAGGCAGCAGUUCUAGGCUCAAAGGACAAACCACAGCAGAGCUGAUCAUGACUAAAGCCAAACCAAAACCACAGCAAAGAAAAUCUAAGGAUUUGUUUACCAGAAAUACCUACAAAGAAGUUUGCAGGCCGGGUGCGUCUGUAAUCCCAGCACUUUGGGAGGCCGAGACGGGUGGAUCACCUGAGCAGGAGUUGGAGACCAGCCUGGCCAACAUGGUGAAACCCCAUCUCUAG